rnacentral:rRNA from 1 species
AUGGUUAUGCUGUUCGAGCUGCUCCGCAACUGCGCCGGGUUCUACCGCAAGAUCCAGGAGGACAUCGAGGCCAACCUCGGCAAGCCCAACGUUGAGUGGAGGGAGGGGAGCGAGGUGUUCGCGACCAAGGUGGCGCUAAAGCUCGGCGGGAGCCUGUCAGACCUGAAGCAAAUCAGGAAGAUGGCCUCGCCGUCCGUCAGAGAUGAGGACAUCAAGGAGUUUGCCGAGAACCUCUUCUAA